GAACAGGCUCAGGACGAACGCUGGCGGCGUGCCUAAUACAUGCAAGUCGAGCGGACAGAUGGGAGCUUGCUCCCUGAUGUUAGCGGCGGACGGGUGAGUAACACGUGGGUAACCUGCCUGUAAGACUGGGAUAACUCCGGGAAACCGGGGCUAAUACCGGAUGGUUGUUUGAACCGCAUGGUUCAAACAUAAAAGGUGGCUUCGGCUACCACUUACAGAUGGACCCGCGGCGCAUUAGCUAGUUGGUGAGGUAACGGCUCACCAAGGCGACGAUGCGUAGCCGACCUGAGAGGGUGAUCGGCCACACUGGGACUGAGACACGGCCCAGACUCCUACGGGAGGCAGCAGUAGGGAAUCUUCCGCAAUGGACGAAAGUCUGACGGAGCAACGCCGCGUGAGUGAUGAAGGUUUUCGGAUCGUAAAGCUCUGUUGUUAGGGAAGAACAAGUACCGUUCGAAUAGGGCGGUACCUUGACGGUACCUAACCAGAAAGCCACGGCUAACUACGUGCCAGCAGCCGCGGUAAUACGUAGGUGGCAAGCGUUGUCCGGAAUUAUUGGGCGUAAAGGGCUCGCAGGCGGUUUCUUAAGUCUGAUGUGAAAGCCCCCGGCUCAACCGGGGAGGGUCAUUGGAAACUGGGGAACUUGAGUGCAGAAGAGGAGAGUGGAAUUCCACGUGUAGCGGUGAAAUGCGUAGAGAUGUGGAGGAACACCAGUGGCGAAGGCGACUCUCUGGUCUGUAACUGACGCUGAGGAGCGAAAGCGUGGGGAGCGAACAGGAUUAGAUACCCUGGUAGUCCACGCCGUAAACGAUGAGUGCUAAGUGUUAGGGGGUUUCCGCCCCUUAGUGCUGCAGCUAACGCAUUAAGCACUCCGCCUGGGGAGUACGGUCGCAAGACUGAAACUCAAAGGAAUUGACGGGGGCCCGCACAAGCGGUGGAGCAUGUGGUUUAAUUCGAAGCAACGCGAAGAACCUUACCAGGUCUUGACAUCCUCUGACAAUCCUAGAGAUAGGACGUCCCCUUCGGGGGCAGAGUGACAGGUGGUGCAUGGUUGUCGUCAGCUCGUGUCGUGAGAUGUUGGGUUAAGUCCCGCAACGAGCGCAACCCUUGAUCUUAGUUGCCAGCAUUCAGUUGGGCACUCUAAGGUGACUGCCGGUGACAAACCGGAGGAAGGUGGGGAUGACGUCAAAUCAUCAUGCCCCUUAUGACCUGGGCUACACACGUGCUACAAUGGACAGAACAAAGGGCAGCGAAACCGCGAGGUUAAGCCAAUCCCACAAAUCUGUUCUCAGUUCGGAUCGCAGUCUGCAACUCGACUGCGUGAAGCUGGAAUCGCUAGUAAUCGCGGAUCAGCAUGCCGCGGGUGAAUACGUUCCCGGGCCUUGUACACACCGCCCGUCACACCACGAAGAGUUUGUAACACCCGAAGUCGGUGAGGUAACCUUUUAGGAGCCAGCCGCCGAAGGUGGGACAGAUGAUUGGGGUG
rnacentral:rRNA from 1 species